UAACAUAAUACAUUUUCUCGGAAUCAGAAUGGAUUCCAGUACGAAUUGAGACCCGAUAAUCUCCAUAUCCUACAACAUGUGGAAGGAGAAAAGUACUAAUAAAUAGUGAAUCUAAAUUUCCAAACUUGUUUGAAGAUCGCAAAUAGCGAUGACGGACUUCAAGUGUGUGUUGUUCAUUUUGUGCAUUUCGCUUCCUCACAUUUAUUUAUACUCUCUCAAAUAUGAUGAGGACCAUGGCCCUCGGCAGAAGUACACCAAACAAAACAUUGCAACGACACCAUCAAGUUCAAUCAAAACAACUCCAUCAACAAAAAACGAAUCUGUGUUUGAUGACUUCCUUGCUCAACCUUUAGCGGAUGUGAAAAGAAAUGGUUGUCCUCAAGGACAACUGAGGGAUCCAGUCGGAACUUGUCGUGAUAUUGAAUUCAGAUGAAAGCUUAUAUGUUAGCAAUUGUGUAACUAUUUCUGUUUAUGUCAUGUUGGAGGUACAAAUUCAUUCAAGUGA